AACAGAUCUCGCUGACCUAGCUGCGCUCACUCUCAUAUCUCACCUCUCCUCAACGCGUCUUCCUGCCUCCACCAUCACUCUCACCACACCUCCGUCGUCGCUGCGCUCCUCCCCAUAGGCCACACCUCCGUCGUCGCCCUCACCAGCGCCUCCCUCAUCCUCCCACGACGCCGCUUACACCGCCUCUCUCACCACGACUCCCUCAGCCACGACCAAAAACCGCCGCCGCCACCAAGAUAAGGAUCCAACGCCUCUCUCAUCAGCCACCCACGACCCCGCCACCACCCUCGCCACCGCCGCGGCUGCUUCUGUGACUUCCACCGUCGGCAGCUGGUGAACAGAACUGUACGUGCAGGUAUUUAUUUGAACAUAGCUGGCAUAAAUCGGGAACAUUGAUAUGUUUGGUUCUCAGCCGAUCACAAGUAGGAAGAGAGGAGGAACAAAGCUGCCAAAAGAAAGUCUUUAGCUUUGGAGGGAGUUUGAAUUUCCAGAAUCUGGUCCAAAUUGGGACUUGGACAGAACUGAAAUCACCUGCAAGAGUAUUAUAGCAACUACGCACAGUGUUGGAUAAGGCCAGCAACUUUAGUGAUUCCAGAUUGAAUGGGUGCAAGGGGCUGAAUGAAUGGUUGGUUCUUGUUUGGCAUAGAUGUCAACCUUUAUGCAUUGGUGUUUGAUGAAUCUGUUUUAAAUGAUGCAGUAAGUGAGGAGUUUGGUAAUUCUCUUUGCUAAUUAGCUUCUUUUUUUUUAAAAUGUUUUUGUGUUGCACAACUGGAAGAUGGAAAUUUCUCUAUACAGGUCAGUUUAGUUGAAAUGCUUUUCUAAUUAGACUAAUGUAGGAGAUCUGGCCAAAGUGGUUACAGAUACGCAGUUAUCUAUUUAUUUGUGCAUAUUUUUUGAAAUGUAGGAGAUCUCCUCGGUCCUCUCCUAGUAACCAGGACAGAGCUGAACCAUCUGAUUUUCAGUAUUUCUCUGAAUCCUUAAGUAGUUUAGAUGAUGAUCUUGAAAGAGUGAAAACUGGAUUUAGAAAAAAGAAGAAAUGGCAUGCUUCAGAUGAUGAUUUUUCCUCACGUUCAGCUUAGGCCUGCAGACAGUGUAGAGAAGGCUUCUAAAACUGCUGAGAUAAACCCGAGGAAAAUCAAGAUGAGGAGACUAGAAAAGUAAAUCCAAGAGAACUCAACCCAUAUUUGAAGGAUAAACGCUUUAAAGCGAGUUAAAGAGCAAGCUGCUCUCGAAGGACGAAAGUUGGAUGAGGUAGUUGAAGAAUUGUGGGGUUCAUUGAGUCAACUAGCUGUUUCUGUUGCAUCCCGCAAAGUUGCCCCAAACCAUGCUCAUCUUCAUGCCAUCAAAAGUAGAAGGGGUGUAAUGGGAGAGUGAUCUGUUGAGAAGUGUACUACAGAAGUUGGAUCUGCAAUGUCCUAGUCUUUUCCUGAUAUAUUUGACUUAGUUUUAGCUCCCUUGUGAUAGAUUUAUAACACCUGUUAAACUUGGAAUCAAUUAGCUGUGAUUCAUGUGCUUGGCUAUUAAUGAAUCUAAUUUAUAUUUAUAUAUAUCAGUAAUGCACU